rnacentral:rRNA from 1 species
UACGGGGGGGGCAAGCGUUGUUCGGAAUUACUGGGCGUAAAGGGUUCGUAGGUGGCCAACUAAGUCAGACGUGAAAUCCCUCGGCUUAACCGGGGAACUGCGUCUGAUACUGGAUGGCUAGAGGUUGGGAGAGGGAUGCGGAAUUCCAGGUGUAGCGGUGAAAUGCGUAGAUAUCUGGAGGAACACCGGUGGCGAAGGCGACUACCUGGCCUGUUCUUGACGCUGAGGCGCGAAAGCUAGGGGAGCAAACGGG